GAUCAUCAUCGAGUACUACUUCUCAACUUCUAACUUUUUAAUCGUAAGUAGACUGGUCUUGCGGUCAGUCCGCUAACGACUAAGUAGACUCAUUCUGAGCGGUGGAUCACUCGGCUCACGGGUCGAUGAAGAGCGCCGCGAGCGGCGUUACUCAAUGCGACAUGCAGAAUCAUUGAGCAUCAGACACUCGAAUGCACAUUGCGGCAACGGGACAUAUCCCGUUGCCACGUCUGUUUGAGGGUUGCACUAGGAUAGAUGGUCUUCUACUUUUGAAGGUGAGCUCUAGCUCGGCUCGCUCAGCGGCCCUUUGUGUGUGUCGUCGUUGGUGCGGCCGACCUGAGAGCGUUGCGUUAGCGUGUCGGCGACAUGUGUCGGUGGCAGUGGUGCUUCGGUGCAGCUGCGUCGCCUCCACCCGCGCCCUGCGUGUUACGGCGUUGGAGGCGACGUCAGUGAGCUCGAAGAACGUGUGUCACUGUGCGUGCGGAAAUGCGUCGACAUUAGGCAAAUAUCCUUUUCAACCUCAAAUCAGUCGUGACAACCCGUUGAACUUAAGCAUAUCAAUAAGCGGAGGAAGGGCGAAUU
rnacentral:rRNA from 1 species